GAUGAACGCUGGCGGCGUGCUUAACACAUGCAAGUCGAACGAUGAAGCCCAGCUUGCUGGGUGGAUUAGUGGCGAACGGGUGAGUAACACGUGAGUAACCUGCCCUUAACUCUGGGAUAAGCCUGGGAAACUGGGUCUAAUACCGGAUAGGAGCGUCCACCGCAUGGUGGGUGUUGGAAAGAUUUAUCGGUUUUGGAUGGACUCGCGGCCUAUCAGCUUGUUGGUGAGGUAAUGGCUCACCAAGGCGACGACGGGUAGCCGGCCUGAGAGGGUGACCGGCCACACUGGGACUGAGACACGGCCCAGACUCCUACGGGAGGCAACAGUGGGGAAUAUUGCACAAUGGCGCAAGCCUGAUGCAGCGACGCCGCGUGAGGGAUGACGGCCUUCGGGUUGUAAACCUCUUUCAGUAGGGAAGAAGCGAAAGUGACGGUACCUGCAGAAGAAGCACCGGCUAACUACGUG
rnacentral:rRNA from 1 species